rfam:Schistosoma mansoni strain Puerto Rico chromosome W, complete genome
AUCCAGGUGACGAGUCCCAAAUAGGAUGGAACGCGCGUCAAACUGGAU